rnacentral:rRNA from 1 species
GAAUCCUGACACAGGGAGGUAGUGACAAGAAAUAACAAUACAGGGCUACUUCUAGUCUUGUAAUUGGAAUGAGUACAACUUACAUCUCUUCACGAGGAUCAAUUGGAGGGCAAGUCUGGUGCCAGCAGCCGCGGUAAUUCCAGCUCCAAUAGCGUAUAUUAAAGUUGUUGCAGUUAAAAAGCUCGUAGUCGGAUUUCGGGUCGGGCCGAGCGGUCUGCCGAUGGGUAUGCACUGUUUGGCGCGGCCUUCUUUCCGGAGACCGCGGCUACUCUUAACUGAGCGGGCGUGGGAGACGGAUCGUUUACUUUGAAAAAAUCAGAGUGUUUCAAGCAGGCAGCUCGCUCUUGCAUGGAUUAGCAUGGGAUAAUUGAAUAGGACUCUGGUGCUAUUUUGUUGGUUUCGAACACCGGAGUAAUGAUUAACAGGGACAGUCA